rnacentral:rRNA from 1 species
GACGAACGCUGGCGGCGUGCCUAACACAUGCAAGUCGAACGGAGAUACGAUUUCGGUUGUAUCUUAGUGGCGAACGGGUGAGUAACGCGUGAGCAACCUGACCUUCAGAGGGGGAUAACACUUGGAAACAGGUGCUAAUACCGCAUAAGACCACGACCCGACAUCGGGAUGAGGUCAAAGGAGAAAUCCGCUGAGGGAGGGGCUCGCGUCCCAUUAGAUAGAUGGCGGGGUAACGGCCCACCAUGUCGACGAUGGGUAGCCGAGCUGAGAGGCUGAUCGGCCACACUGGAACUGAGACACGGUCCAGACUCCUACGGGAGGCAGCAGUGGGGAAUAUUGGGCAAUGGGCGCAAGCCUGACCCAGCAACGCCGCGUGAGGGAAGAAGGCCUUCGGGUUGUAAACCUCUGUCCUUGGUGACGAAACAAAUGACGGUAGCCAAGGAGGAAGCCCCGGCUAACUACGUGCCAGCCGCCGCAGUAA